GAAUGGGGAAACCCAGUGUGAUUCGUCACACUAUCAUUAACUGAAUCCAUAGGUUAAUGAGGCGAACCGGGGGAACUGAAACAUCUAAGUACCCCGAGGAAAAGAAAUCAACCGAGAUUCCCCCAGUAGCGGCGAGCGAACGGGGAGGAGCCCAGAGCCUGAAUCAGCAUGUGUGUUAGUGGAAGCGUCUGGAAAGGCGCGCGAUACAGGGUGACAGCCCCGUACACAAAAGCGCAUGUGCUGUGAGCUCGAUGAGUAGGGCGGGACACGUGGUAUCCUGUCUGAAUAUGGGGGGACCAUCCUCCAAGGCUAAAUACUCCUGACUGACCGAUAGUGAACCAGUACCGUGAGGGAAAGGCGAAAAGAACCCCGGCGAGGGGAGUGAAAAAGAACCUGAAACCGUGUACGUACAAGCAGUGGGAG
rnacentral:rRNA from 3 species